rnacentral:rRNA from 1 species
AUUGAACGCUGGCGGCAUGCUUUACACAUGCAAGUCGAACGGUAACAGGCCGCAAGGUGCUGACGAGUGGCGAACGGGUGAGUAAUGCAUCGGAACGUGCCCAGUCGUGGGGGAUAACGCAGCGAAAGCUGCGCUAAUACCGCAUACGAUCUAUGGAUGAAAGCGGGGGACUGUAAGGCCUCGCGCGAUUGGAGCGGCCGAUGUCAGAUUAGGUAGUUGGUGGGGUAAAGGUUCACCAAGCCAACGAUCUGUAGCUGGUCUGAGAGGACGACCAGCCACACUGGGACUGAGACACGGCCCAGACUCCUACGGGAGGCAGCAGUGGGGAAUUUUGGACAAUGGGCGCAAGCCUGAUCCAGCAAUGCCGCGUGCAGGAAGAAGGCCUUCGGGUUGUAAACUGCUUUUGUACGGAACGAAAAGGCUCUGGUUAAUACCUGGGGCUCAUGACGGUACCGUAAGAAUAAGCACCGGCUAACUACGUGCCAGCCGCCGCCGUAAUAC